GUUGCUUCUUGGCCUUUUGGUUAAGGUCAAGUGUAGUAGCUGUUCUUAUCAGUUUGGUAUCUAUAUGUUCUCUAUCUGUGGGUGAUAUAGUAAAUGAAUUUUCGAAGCAGGAAAGGUGCACCCCCUUGAGGAACAAAAAAUAAUCACAAGUAUGAAGAAGCCACUUCCAAAAGGGCUGCUUAGGUUCC
rnacentral:snRNA from 1 species